rnacentral:rRNA from 1 species
UACGUAGGGUGCGAGCGUUUGUCCGGAAUUAUUGGGCGUAAAGAGCUCGUAGGCGGUGUGUCGCGUCGGCCGUGAAAACCUGCAGCUUAACUGUGGGCUUGCGGUCGAUACGGGCAUCACUGGAGUUCGGGCAGGGGAGACUGGAAUUCCUGGUGUAGCGGUGAAAUGCGCAGAUAUCAGGAGGGAACACCGGUGGCGAAGGCGGGUCUCUG